AGUGGCCAGGAGGGCAAGUGGCACCCUUCUGUGGAAGUAAAUUUGCCUUGCUGAGAAAUUCUUUGUUUGAGUGCUCAUUUUCCUUGCGACUCCAAGCUCUUAUUUCCAACAGGGAAAUCUUUGACCUGUUUAUGUAACAAAGGAUGAGAUAGAAAGACAGAAAUGCUCAAGGAUGGAAAGAAAAGUGAGUGAGCAAGAGAGAUUAAGAGACAGAGAGUCAGAGUGUAACUUGGAAAAGUGGUGAAGAAAAUCUCAGGAAAAAAGGAGCACUCCACGACUGCUGAGGGUUCAAGAAGAGGACAGAGAAUUGAUGCUGUAUGUGCCUGAACAAGACAAUUGACAACCUUGUUGAGAGCAGUUUCAGUGGAAUAGUCAGGGAGAGAAAACCUGGAUUGGAGCAUGCUAAGGAAUGGAAGUAGAGAUGAAAGCACUCAGGGGUGCCCAGCAGGACAGCCUCCAGCUCUUCCAAUCAGAGCUGUAACACCAUUUCCUGAAACACCGUUUUCAACUAAGCUUUGGAGUGACAAAAAUACCUGUUAUCACGGACUAAUGCCUCCAGGAAAGAAAUCCUCGUGAUAUGCAUCUGUCCCCAAUAUGGCCACAGUAAAUCUGAGAGGAAGAAGGCACAGGAUUUUCUCAGUGGUGUGGAUUGGGACCAGCCUCAUGUGCGAUCCAGAAGUAGAAAGGACUGGAAAAGAGAUUCUGAUGGACACAGAACUCCUGCUACAUCAUAUAGAUUGACAGAACAUAUAAAUAUAAAUAAUCAUAUUUUAUUGUCUGAUUUAAGCAUUAUAUUUUAUUGAUAGGUGUGUUAGAAAACAAGAUUUUAUAAAGCUUUCCCAGAUGGCAGAAUUUAGAGAAAAAUAUUUCACAUCAAAAUUCAGGGACUUCCUCCAUAAAAAUAGCACUGUUUAGCUCUAAAGCGAGAGACUGCAUUUCAGUUUGUUCAUGACAUACAAUGGGUGGACAGGUAAGAAACCAAGUCAGCAAUUGCUUGAUUUACAUUUUUAUAGCCAUUAUAAACAAGACUGGUUCAGAUUUUGAUCUGAUGACUAAAUUGAUUUUUUUGCAAAGGGAAAUAUUUCAUUACUCACACCAGAAUUCAAUUCUAAGAAUUUUCUUGCAUGUAAUGUUUUCCAGUGUUUCAGUGCGACUUCCACUGUCUCUGACCCUGGAGAAAACUCUCGUGGUAAAGCACAGGGCUUCCUGCAGAAGGCUUGUCUGGAGACACUGGCACCAAUACUCCUAUGAAACACAUUCAACGCCUACUUUAAAAUUCAAAUGACCAACAUUCCUUUCAGCCGUAUUUGCAUAUGAUCCUGGCCUUUUUUUAUCUGGCAGGGAUGUUAAUAAAAACUUAGUUUUGAAAUAAUUUUAGUUUCUCUCUUAAAAAUGGAAAACUGCCCAAGUCUGUAUUUGUUUGGGGAGAAGAUAGAAUGUCUUAUACAGAAUUCAUUCCAUAUAACAGCUCUCAGAAUAAAGCAAAAGAAGAAGUCAUUUCAAUAUGGAACGUCAUAGAAGUCAUGGAAAUCGAUAUCCAAUAUGCAGUAAGAAAUGUAGUGAUAUACAGAUCAUAGGAUGAUAUUGAACUCUCCCAUCUUUCUUCAUUCCUUUGUCUAGAAUUGCUGACAAAUCAACAUUUUUAUCAUGCAUAUGCCAAUAUC
rnacentral:lncRNA from 10 species